UCAUCUUCUUUCUUCAAAACUCUAUUUUUUUUCUAAAUCAAAAUCUUUUUCUCCAAAAUCAUUUGUCCAGAGAGCUUAUCUUAAAUCAUUUAUCUAUGUUGUUUAAUCUAUAAUUUAAGAUACAUCAAGCUAUUGGAUCGAUGACAACAAAAACAUAGAUGACGGUGAAGACGUAGAUGAUGGCAAAGCUCAGUGAUGAAGACAGCAACUAUAUCGUAGAUGACGGUGUAGACGUAGAUGAGGGCAAAGCACGGUGAAUAUGUAGAUGAAAGCGCGGUGACAUUGACAGAAGCUGUAUCAAUGACUGUAGAGAUGUAGAUGAUGGCGAAGACAUACCACAGUGGAGACAUGCGACAUCGACCAUAGACAACAACGGAGACGUAGACAAAAUUAACAGCAAAGACAUACACGACAGAGUGCUGAGACUAAAGAAAACCAAAGAAAACUGGAAAUAACAAAAAUAAC
rnacentral:lncRNA from 1 species